rnacentral:miRNA from 1 species
AAUUGCACCUGUCCCGGCCUGC